GACAGAGGUGCCGAGCGUUAGGCGGAAUCACUGGGCUUAAAGCGUGUGUAGGCGGCCCGUUAAGUGUCUUGUGAAAUCCCCCGGCUCAACCGGGGAACUGCUGGGCAUACUGGCGGGCUUGGGUCGCUCAGGGGCAGACGGAACAGGCGGUGGAGCGGUGAAAUGCGUAGAUAUCGCCCUGGAACGCCGAAGGUGAAAACAGCUCGCUGGGGCUGCGCUGACGCUGAGACACGAAAGCCAGGGAGCGAACGGG
rnacentral:rRNA from 1 species